AUUUAUUACAGAUCGGAGGGAGCAUGACUAUCAAUGGAGGUUGCACCUUGGCCCCUUCUUACAUGUGUGCGGCCAGUCGCUACGAAGCCGUUGACAUGGUUAGGUUCUUCACGCUGAGCAGUGCAGAGUCAGAAGCCCAUCCGAAAGGAACCUAGUUAAGCGUGUUUGCCGGCACUGGACGCAUAUGGGCGUGUGGCAAGAAGGGACGAUCUGGCUUAGGCGUGUGACUGACGAGAACGUCAGGUCCUUUGAGGAGGAGGGUGUGUGACACACUGGUCUAUAACUUAAUAGGAUUGAUGAAUACUCAUAUCAACAACAUCAUAUCUCCACCAUGAGCUUGGCUUUGCUCUCCAUCUUCUCCACCGUGAGUUCUACACCCCCAACAGUGUCGCCUGCACGUCACUUCCUUCGUCUUUCAGCGAGCUCUUGGGUACCGACAUCGACCUCAACCACAACAACAUGGGCAGACGACCGAUAAAAUUAGGAGGGACUUUUCAGGAGCGGUUUUAUAGAACAGUAAAUUAGGAGGAACUUUUCAGGAGCGGUUUUAUAGAAUAGUGACCGUAAGUGGUCAAGUUGUUGCACGUGCAAUUCAAAGCUCAUGCGGUGUGAAUAGGACCUCACGUAGUUUACAUUUAGGAGUCAGUACUUAUUUUCAUAAUGUUAAUACUAGCUUAACAUCCCCACAAUUCCUUUUAGACUUUUGGUGCAUUCAACUCUUCAAAUAGAUCUUAACUGUGAUAAUCUAGGACAAAUGCCAAUUGCUUGGGCAGCACCUUCUACCAGCUUCUGUCUGCCUGCUAUGGACAGAAUUUUCCUCCCAGCCUUAAAUCUUCUUCCACAACUUCCAUUGGGUGCUAAAAAUACCUUCCAUCGUGGGCAAAUUACCGUCAACUUAAGAAAGAUCGUAUCACCACUCAGAAAUUGCAGAACACAGGUCUUCUUUUUUCUAUUUGUUACAAACGAUGUAUCUUUGUUGAUCAUCUUUGGUACCGCCAUACUUAUUUCUUAUCAUAGAGACGAAUACCACACACCACGUAGUGCAGUGCAAACUUUCAGCCAAUGAUAACAUACGAACAGAGACAAUCCAAGAACCUCAAGCAAUUCAUAGAAUUCAGCAUUUCACACUGCAC